rnacentral:misc_RNA from 1 species
AACCGUCAGCUCCUCUCAAAUGGAUCAGCUUGCCAGUGUUUGGUGGCAUCACGGGUGUGAUAACUAUCUACGCUCGUGGUUCUCCACCAUGUAACCUUCAGUGAUGGAGGUUCGCUGGAGCUCACAGACGUCUCUCCUCAGGGAGGACAGCUUUUUGAACGUUUGAUCUCAAAUCAGGUAGGACUACCCGCUGAACUUAA